GACGAACGCUGGCGGCGCGCCUAACACAUGCAAGUCGAACGGAGCUGAGAGAAGCUUGCUUUUCUUAGCUUAGUGGCGAACGGGUGAGUAACGCGUGAGUAACCUGCCCUGGAGUGGGGGACAACAGUUGGAAACGACUGCUAAUACCGCAUAAGCCCACGAUCCGGCGUCGGAUUGAGGGAAAAGGAUUUAUUCGGGUCAGGAUGGACGCGCGUCCAAUUAGCUAGUUGGUGAGGUAACGGCCCACCAAGGCGACGAUUGGUAGCCGGACUGGGAGGUUGAACGGCCACAUUGGGACUGAGACACGGCCCAGACUCCUACGGGAGGCAGCAGUGGGGGAUAUUGCACGAUGGGGGAAGCCCUGAUGCAGCGACGCCGCGUGGAGGAAGAAGGUUUUCGGAUUGUAAACUCCUGUCGUUAGGGACGAUAAUGACGGUACCUAACAAGAAAGCACCGGCUAACUACGUG
rnacentral:rRNA from 1 species